rfam:Capsicum annuum cultivar Zunla-1 chromosome 8, whole genome shotgun sequence
UGAUGAUGGUGAGGGAAAUUUCUGAGCAUACCCUUAAAUAUCUCCCAAGCUUGGUGGAGAUUCUCUCCGUGUUUCUUUCUAAAACUCAAGAUCUUGCUCCUCAAGCG